rnacentral:rRNA from 1 species
AGGAUCAUUCGCAAUGGGCGGAAGCCUGACGAUGCGACGCUGCGUGGAGGACGAAGGCCCUCGGGUCGUAAACUCCUGUCAUGGGGGGCGAGGCCCCCGCCGGGCAGCUCCGGCGGGGUCGGACGGUACCCCAAGAGGAAGCCACGGCUAACUCUGUGCCAGCAGCCGCGGUAAUACAGAGGUGGCGAGCGUUGUUCGGAUUUACUGGGCGUAAAGGGCGCGUAGGCGGCCGGACGUGUGGGGUGUGAAAUCUCCGGGCCCAACCCGGAAAGUGCGCUCCAAACUGUGCGGCUCGAGGCCGGGAUGGGUGGCCGGAAUGCAGGGUGUAGCGGUGAAAUGCGUUGAUAUCCUGCAGAACACCGGAGGCGAAGGCGGGCCACUGGAACGAAUCUGACGCUGAGGCGCGAAAGCCGGGGGAGCGAACA